rnacentral:rRNA from 1 species
GACGAACGCUGGCGGCAUGCCUAACACAUGCAAGUCGAACGAGACCUUCGGGUCUAGUGGCGCACGGGUGCGUAACGCGUGGGAACCUGCCCUUAGGUUCGGAAUAACUCCCCGAAAGGGGUGCUAAUACCGGAUAAUGUCUUCGGACCAAAGAUUUAUCGCCUUUGGAUGGGCCCGCGUUGGAUUAGCUAGUUGGUAGGGUAAAAGCCUACCAAGGCGACGAUCCAUAGCUGGUCUGAGAGGAUGAUCAGCCACACUGGGACUGAGACACGGCCCAGACUCCUACGGGAGGCAGCAGUGGGGAAUAUUGGACAAUGGGCGAAAGCAUGAUCCAGCAAUGCCGCGUGAGUGAUGAAGGCCUUAGGGUUGUAAAGCUCUUUUACCCGGGAUGAUAAUGACAGUACCGGGAGAAUAAGCUCCGGCUAACUCCGUG